rnacentral:tRNA from 1 species
GGCGGUUUGGCCGAGUGGUCUAAGGCGAUUGAGUAUGUUUCACCAUUAGACAUAGUAAACCAGAAUUUCACUAACCAUUGCAACAGCUCGAAAUCAAUUCUCUUCGGAGGCGCAUGUUCGAAUCAUGCAGCCGUCG